rnacentral:rRNA from 1 species
GAUGAACGCUGGCGGCGUGCCUAAUACAUGCAAGUCGAGCGAACAGACGAGGAGCUUGCUCCUCUGACGUUAGCGGCGGACGGGUGAGUAACACGUGGAUAACCUACCUAUAAGACUGGGAUAACUUCGGGAAACCGGAGCUAAUACCGGAUAAUAUAUUGAACCGCAUGGUUCAAUAGUGAAAGACGGUUUUGCUGUCACUAUUGAUGGAUCCGCGCCGCAUUAGCUAGUUGGUAAGGUAACGGCUUACCAAGGCAACGAUGCGUAGCCGACCUGAGAGGGUGAUCGGCCACACUGGAACUGAGACACGGUCCAGACUCCUACGGGAGGCAGCAGUAGGGAAUCUUCCGCAAAGGGCGAAAGCCUGACGGAGCAACGCCGCGUGAGUGAUGAAGGUCUUCGGAUCGUAAAACUCUGUUAUUAGGGAAGAACAAAUGUGUAAGUAACUAUGCACGUCUUGACGGUACCUAAUCAGAAAGCCACGGCUAACUACGUG